CUUGUACAGACCACAGGUGCUCGGACGCACGGCCGGCAUCAUGGUCGUCAUAACUCAUAACCCAUGAGGUGGUGACCAAGCAAGAAAGGAAGGAACUUUCGCGCAAAGAAAACACACACAGGGCAGGAACAUGACUACUCUCGCCCUUCCAUGUUUCUGAUCGAUCGAACUCUUCGGUGACCAGAAAAUGAGAAAAGGGCAGGUCAUCGAUGUACAGACCACAGGCGCUCGGACGCACGGCCGGCAUCAUGGUCGUCAUAGCUCAUAACCCAUGAGGGGGUGACGAAGCAAGAAAGGAAGAACUCCCGGGCGACGAGCCCAACGGCCUUGUACUUCGCCCGGACAAGCACCAUUGGGUCGACGUUGCAGCCAGCGGCUGCGGCCAUGCAUUCGGAAAUUCCAUGGCAUGAUGCAUAUAAAUUGGAUCUGUAGGUGGGUUCAGAAGAUGAUUUUUUUUCUAUGCUUCUCCUAUGGUGGGUUCGGUUUUGCAUUACUCAAUUUUGCUAAUGUGUCGUUUCUGCAAUGUACCUUCAAUUUUUUUAGUAUACUAAUUUCAAAUGAUUACAUAAUUUUCUAUGGAUCAGAUUCAUGAAGCUCCAAGCGAGCAAGAAGUUUCAGUCCACCUUUACUCAUGGCCUCCCCUUCUCAUCUGGUGGACGGCCUUGGCAAUCUGAACAAGCUUUACGCGACUGGCACUCUUGUUGAUCCCUUAUGAGUCAUUAAGCCGUUUUGUGCGCAAGGUUGAGAUAGUUGGGGCCUAUAACUGUGUUUUGAUCCCAUGAAUGUCAUUUUGCACCGAAGGUUUGUAACCAUUGGGGAAUGUUUUCUUGCUCUGAUGUAUCAAGUUGCCAUGGGGGUGAUCUAGAGGUCUCUUCCUUGUCCAAAGUAUGUCGUACCUAAUCAAGACAUGUUCAUUUAAUUUACCCGUCAUGUAAAUGACACAACAUGAUUCACUUGUGUAUAGUGUAAAAAUAUAUUUAUUUAUGGCACACAGGUGUUCAAAUUAUA